rnacentral:lncRNA from 1 species
ACCUCUCUGCUGUCUUUGUUCCUUGUGAUCAGGUUUGGGUAUUGCACACUUUUCGGUCUACAGCUGCUUGGCCGUUCGGGGCUCUAAGUUUUACAGGACUGAAAGUACUGGGGGAUUUAAAUGUUCUAGUUGCACAGUUAUGGUGAGGAAAAGAACUCUGGAAAAGGGAAAGGCCAGACUGCAGUCCGCGGGUGUGGAGCCGUACUUCAACAGAGACCCUGUUACUAGGCAACCGCUGGCGUUCUCAACCGCCGCCCCAGAGCCACCGCCUCGCCCCCGUCGCCAAGGAGAUGGACGCUUCAACUCGGGCCUGCCGUAAAUCCGCACGCUCUUUACGACACUGCCGCGGCUGCCGCUGCGUGCGCGCCCUCUGCCCCCACCUCCACACUCCGCCCCGGCCGCCAUUGCCUCGUGCCCGCGCUAGUCGGUUGGUGGCGCCUUUGUCCUACGGCGGGCAGGUGGGCUGAGGCCGAGGCGGGAGCGGCGGGCCUGAGGCGGAGGAGCGGCGGGGAGGCGGCCGCGCUGGUAGCGAUAUUAAUAAGGCAGCGGAAAGAAGAAAUAUGAAUACGGCUCCAUCAAGACCCAGCCCCACACGAAGAAACGCUCAAGCAAACAAGAACCUUGUCUGAAGGGCCUUGCUACUUUUUAAGUCAUACGUCAGGAGAUACAGAGGAAGCUUUGUGUUUUCCGUGACAAAACCAGCAAGUUCAGCUUGCGGCAUGAGUUGCAGGCAAUUGGAAGAGGAUAAACCUCUGUUUCCCCAGCUCACGUGUCAUUGGGAUUCUUCAGAGCAGGAGGAGGGCCCCAGGGUCAAGUUGGUGUGUACCUGCCGUGUUGCUCUGCAGCAGGCAGCAGAGAUUUGAAUCUUCAUUGCAAAUUGCUGCCGGCCCAGAUGUUAACUCAGGUUUUCGGAAAGAGCUGCUUGACAGAUUGCCGCUGUGCCUGUGCUGCAGAUCCCGUGUGCUCGAAUGUCUGGGUUACUUGUCUGAAGGGAAAUAAAGAGGGCAAAACAC